GUUUAAAUAAUUUAAAAUAAAAUACUAGAUUGUGAUUCUAGAAAUAAGAGUUAAAUUCUCUUUUUAAACC
rnacentral:tRNA from 1 species